AAUAAAGGAUAAUGGGUGCAACCAAGACUCAGCCAUGCAGCGCGCGUGAAGAAGGUAUUCGGUUUGUAAAUCACUCUAAGUUGGGAGGAAGGGCUUUCUGCCAAUACCGUGAAGCUCUGACUUUACCAACUGAAUAAGCACCGGCUAACUCUGUGCGAGCAGCCGAGGUAAUACAGAGGGUGUAAGCGUUAAGGGGAAUUAAUGGGCGUAAUGCUCGGGUAGGUGGUUCAGUAAGAUGAGUGUGAAAUCCCCGGGCUUAACCUGGGAACUGCUUUCAUAACGACUGAGCUAGAGUCCGGUAGAGGGUAGUGGAAUUUCCUGUGUAGCGGUGAGAUGCGUAGAUAUAAGAAGGAGCACCAGUGGCGAAGGCAACUACCUGGACUGAUACUGACACUGAGGUGCGAAAGCGUGGGGAGCAAACA
rnacentral:rRNA from 1 species